rnacentral:rRNA from 1 species
UACGGGGGGGGCAAGCGUUGUUCGGAAUUACUGGGCGUAAAGGGCUCGUAGGCGGCCAACUAAGUCAGACGUGAAAUCCCUCGGCUUAACCGGGGAACUGCGUCUGAUACUGGUUGGCUUGAGUGUGGGAGAGGGAUGCGGAAUUCCAGGUGUAGCGGUGAAAUGCGUAGAUAUCUGGAGGAACACCGGUGGCGAAGGCGGCAUCCUGGACCACAACUGACGCUGAGGAGCGAAAGCGUGGGGAGCGAACAGG